UACAGAGGGGGCAAGCGUUAUUCGGAAUUAUUGGGCGUAAAGGGCGCGUAGGCGGCCUGGCAAGUGGAAGGUGAAAUCCCUCGGCUUAACCGAGGAACUGCCUUCCAAACUGCUUGGCUUGAGUCCGGGAGAGGUGAGUGGAAUUCCCAGUGUAGCGGUGAAAUGCGUAGAUAUUGGGAGGAACACCAGUGGCGAAGGCGGCUCUCUAGUACGUGACUGACGCUGAGACGCGAAAGCGUGGGGAGCGAACAGG
rnacentral:rRNA from 1 species